rnacentral:lncRNA from 1 species
UGAUUCAGCCUAAUGUAUGGUUCAUCCAACUGUUCCGAUACGGUCUAUCGUACGACCCAUUUGGAUGUUCAUCCCCUCAGAUACGAUCUAGCGUACGAUCCAUUCUGAUCUUUAUUCCUCCGAUACUACCUAGCGUACGGUACAUUCUGAAACGUGGUCUAGCAUACGACUACCCUUUCAUCCUCAGAUACAGCCUAAUGGACGGCUC